GGAGAAGUACCGUGAGGGAAGCGUGAAAAGGACUUUGCAAAGAGAUUUAAAAGAGCCUGCACUUGCUGAGUGCCAAGCACACAGGAUGGCAGAGGUGGGAGAGAUUGCUGCGUGCGUGUGCAAUUCUGGCUGUCACCAGACAGGAGCUUGCCAUGCAUGCUUGUGCUGCAUGUGGAGAUUCUUUUCUUGAGUGCCAGUAUGUAUGUAUGUAGUCGAUGCCUGUUGGCAUUGCUUGUGGUGUAUCCUGGGAUAUGUGAUUGUGUGUGCCUUGUCUGAACGUGCCGAAGGCUCUGUUGCACUGUGACCCAAGCUAUCAGCAUGCCUGUCUGUAUUCACUGUUGGGGAGUCCAUGACCAGUGUGUUUGCGGUGAGCUCCNUUCUGUGUGACCCGUCUUGAAACACGGACCAAGGAGUCYAGCAUAGUUGCAAGCUUGUGGGGGGGAGAACUCAGUGCACAAUGAAGGAGGAGUCCCAGAGUGGGCAUGAGUGUUCAAACAAGCAGCA
rnacentral:rRNA from 1 species